UGCACCUCAAGGCCACGCCCCCUGCCCCCGGCUUGGCUCGUGGGUCAAUUCUGCGCCCAGCUGCGGGCGCAUUGGGGGUGGGACAGACAGCGCCACGGGUCCGCCUAAGACAAGACAGACUCCCUGCCCCGGCCUCUCGGUAGCCCUAGGCUGGGAGAAGGCCUGGAGCAAAACCUGGAGAGAGUUUUCAGUAACAGAGUUUCUUUUGUUAAGGAAAUCCUCUAGCAUUCCCACACUACAUAAACAUUUGAACUAUUAAGGCGGCUCUGGAAAGGACCACGAAUGGACCGACUUAGGCAUCCUUAUAAAUGCAGAUUUUUGAUCAAAUAAAUAUUAAUAACUCUUGAGUCAAUAUGAAAAUGUGUCAGUCCUUAUUAUGAAACUCUGAAAUAAUCAAUAGUGAUUUGAUGGAUGCCAAUUUUAAUAUGUUUAAAGAGUUACCACAUAUUCUCAGUAACCAGUUCUCAAACAUUAGUAGUUCAGUCAACUUAGUAUCUCUUUAAAAAAAGAAGACACGAGACAGGUGUAGUCCACAUCACAGACUAACGGACUAAAACUGUCAAGUGCUGUGCAACCACCCUGAAUUGUUGAGCACCCUCCACCCCCAGACUGGCUAUGCUGAGGAUUCUUCCGCAUUCCUUCAGUGCUAUUCUAGCACCAGUGCUAUUCUAGCACCAGUGCUAAAAAGGUUGGAAUGGUAGUGUAGACUGGCUGCUAACAUUUUUGACAUCAUGUCACGCUAACAUAGAUAAUAUGUUGGGGAAAUUGCCAGCGGCUAGUUUUCACUAACAUUCCUACUACAGCACC